GAUGAACGCUGGCGGCGUGCCUAAUACAUGCAAGUCGAGCGAACGGACGAGAAGCUUGCUUCUCUGAUGUUAGCGGCGGACGGGUGAGUAACACGUGGAUAACCUACCUAUAAGACUGGGAUAACUUCGGGAAACCGGAGCUAAUACCGGAUAAUAUUUUGAACCGCAUGGUUCAAAAGUGAAAGACGGUUUUGCUGUCACUUAUAGAUGGAUCCGCGCUGCAUUAGCUAGUUGGUAAGGUAACGGCCUACCAAGGCAACGAUGCAUAGCCGACCUGAGAGGGUGAUCGGCCACACUGGAACUGAGACACGGUCCAGACUCCUACGGGAGGCAGCAGUAGGGAAUCUUCCGCAAUGGGCGAAAGCCUGACGGAGCAACGCCGCGUGAGUGAUGAAGGUCUUCGGAUCGUAAAACUCUGUUAUUAGGGAAGAACAUAUGUGUAAGUAACUGUGCACAUCUUGACGGUACCUAAUCAGAAAGCCACGGCUAACUACGUG
rnacentral:rRNA from 1 species